UGAUGGCUCCGCAGUGACAUCACUGCUUUUCUCACUUGUUCAGAAGAAUUCCAAGUUGGCAGGUGGCAACAGUUUCAAAGAGUAUCCGAGUUGACCGUUAAGGUGAAUUGCAAAUACACAGCAGACAAAACGUGAGCGCCAUGGAUCUUAGUAAAGAAAGGAAAUGGUCCAAGCUGAGGGGUCGCCUGCACAUGCUUGGCUACAAUCAGUAUCUAGGUGCAGAGUCUGUGCCGCUUGUCGAGGAGCUUUUCAGUGACCUUGUCCACACCACCGAAAGCCUACGCAAUUCUCAACAAUCAACAGUCAAGUCGGAGAAGGAAAGCCAAAACUGUGAUGUCCUCCUUGCCCGGCAGAACCAAGACCUUGAGCUUGAGCUCAUGAUGGUGAAGAGUGAGAAGGCCCAUGUGACCAAAGAGUUGAAGGCGUAUAUCACAAAACUGGAUGAAGAGAUUGGUUUGCAGAAAUCUUUAAACAAGCAGCACGUGCAAAAGAUCCACAGCCUGGAGCAGGAAUGCAAUGAAAAGGCCAGGAUCAUACAUCAACUAAGUGGGAAGAUUGCGGAAGUGCAAGCAGUAGAACCCCAUGACGCGUCCUCACAUGGUCCACAUUCAGCCGAUCUGCACCAUGUUGAACUAACAAAAUUAAAAAGAGAGCUGGGAAAUUCUCAGGAACAGAUACAACUCUUAAAUAUCCAAAUUGAUGAGCUGCAAACGACCAACAACACACUAGAGCAGAAGCUCAAUGCCGCGGGGCAAAAGUCAUCUAGCAAAGUGGCAGAGCUUACCUCAAAGAACCAUGAACUAUGUCAAGAAAUCACGGACAUACGUAACCUAGCUAAGAUGAUGGAGAUGGAGAAGAGGCAAAAGUUGAAAACAGCCAAAACGGAAGUACAAGAUCUAAAAGACAUUAUUCAUAAACAUAAGGAUGUCAUUAAAGAUUUGGAGGCUCAGCUUGGUAAAAAACGAACGGAAGUUAUUGACCCGGAGUUAAUAAAAUCACAACUUGGAGAUGAGUUGGGGAAUUUAAGAGAGCAGAAUGAGAAAUUAAAGAAAAUGGUGGAUUUUCUGUCAGUAGAGAAGAGCAGGCUGCAGGACAAAUUGCAGAAGAUGAUGUCCAUCGAAAAAGUAUUGGUGCUGGAGUUGGAGGGCUGGCGGACUAAAUAUGGCAUUUGCGGAAAGGACCGCUUGCCAUCACGUUUAGAUGCCUUUGUCAAGAGUUUAGAGGAAGAAAGGGAUUCCUAUCGUUUGGAGGCCGAACACUCUAGAAACAUUCGAGUCUACGUCACCCCUAUUUACAGUUCAGACAUGAAGAGCAGUCAUGGAAUUGAGAACGUACAACAGGAGCCUGAUGUAAUUCGGAAACUAAAAGAAGAGCUUAGACGGGUAGAAGAAAACCUCCAGCAGGUGACAAGAGAAAAAGUCUGUAUGAUGGAAGAAUUAAAUCACAACUUGCAUAUACAAGAUGAGAUCUCAAACCUGAAAGAGGACAAAACGUCAGAAGACAAAAUCGAACAAGAGUUGGCAGAAAAGGUUUUACUGGCGAAGGAACUUCAGUGUAAGCAACACACAUUGGAAAUGUUGGAACUUCAGGGGCAACUCAGGAAGGCCGAAGAAAAAAAUCAGCAGUUGGCAAGUGAAAAGGAUGCACAAAUUGAAAUAUUGAAGCAAAGGCAGGAGAAGCAUGCAGCAGCAAUUGCCGAAAUUGCAAAACUGAAAGAAGCGCUUGGCCUAGCAGAAACAUCGAUUGCCAGUGAUCCAUUGAUGGAAGAACUAAAGGACAUGCAGCAGCAGCACGAGAAACAAAUGGCAGAUGCUAAUGUUGAAAUCUUACAACUUAAACAGAAGCUCCAAAUGACAAAAGAAAAGAUGCAGGAAUUGGAGGAAUUGAAGCUAAAGCAGACACAUGAUCCAGAAACAUCUGCUCUGAUGUUAACACUGAAAGAGAAUCUUAAAAAGGCAGAGGAGAAAGUAGAGCAAGUAAAAUCUGAAAAAGAUACACUCAAGGAAGAAUUAAAGCAACAGAAGAUGCAACAUGAGCAGCACAACUCCAACACAUUUGUCGAAAUUGCUGACCUGAAAGAGAAGCUCAGAGUGGCUGAAAAAAAAAUCCAGCAAGUGACAGCGAAAAAAGACCUUCCAAUUGAAGUCAACACUCCUAUUAUUAUGACACAUAUGGAUGAAUUAAAACACAGGACAUUUGCAAAUCUACAGCAAAAGCAGAAUGAGGAACACAUCUCAGAUUUGCUCAAACUGAAAGAGAAGAUCAAAAUGACUGAAGAUACUCUCAGGCAGGUGAAAUCUGAAAAAGACAGACAGAUGGAAGAAUUGAAGAAAAUUCAGCUGAAGCACGACGAGGAGCACUCGAAAACCUCUGCGGAAAUCCUAAAACUGGAAGAAAAGCUCAGACUGGCGGAACAAAAAAUCCAGCAGAUGAAAGAUGAGAAAGACUCAUUUAUGGAGGAAUUACAGAGUGCUGACCAAAGCUCUAAAACAUCUCCUGAAAUGAUAAGCCUCAAAGAGAAGCUGAGAGUAGCAAAUGAAAAAAUUCAGCAGUUGACAGCGGAAAAAGACUCACUGACAGAGGACCUGAAGGAAAUGCAGCUCCAGAAUGAGCGCCUAGCUUUAACUACAUCUUCUAAAAUUGCAAAGCUGAAUGAGAAUCUCAGACUGUCAGAAGAAAAAAUCCAACAGGUGACCAAAGAAAAAGACUCCCAGAUGAAGGAACUUGAGAUGUGGCGCGCUGACACAAGCUCAAACACACCUAUGGUCAUCUCGAAACUGAAAGAGAAGCUCAGAGUGGCUCAAGAAAAAGUCCAACUGGCAACUUCUGAAAAAGAUUCGUUGAUGGAGGAGUUGAAGUCAAAGACCAGUUCAACUACAUGUGAUGAAAUCUCAAAGCUAAAAGAGAAGGUCAAACUGGCUGAAAAAAACAUCCAACAAUUGACUGAAGAAGUAGACUCAUUGAUACAGGAAUUAAAACAAAAUAUUUGGUCAUAUGCAUCUGAUGAAAUCUCCAGCCUCAAAGAGAAGCUUAGACUGGCAGAAGGAAACGUCCAACAGUUGACUGCAGAAAAAGACUCACUGACUGAAGAAUUAAAAAAAAAUAAUUGUUCAAUUACCUCUGAUGACAUCUCCGAGCUGAAAAAGAAGCUUAGACUGGCAGAGGAAAAAGUCCAGCAGUUGACUGACAAAAAAAACUCAAAGCAGCCGCACAGUAAAGACCAAAGCGCAACUGAAUCUGGUGAAGUUCAAACGAAAGAGAAGCCUAAACUGACUGAAGAAAAAAUACAGCGGUUGACAAACGAAAAAGAUCCAUUAAUAGAGCACUUAAAGCAAAAGAUUGGUUCGCACACAUCUGGUGAUAUCUCCGACCUGAAAGAGAAGCUCAGGCUAGCAGAAGAAAAAAUACAGAAGUUGACCGAAGAAAAAGACUCGCAGCACGCAGAGUGGGAACAAAAGCAACUGCAGCAUUACAAGCAAAGCGCAAAUAAAUCUGCUGAAAUCCUUCAACUGAAAAAGCAGCUCAGACAGGCAGAAGAACAACUCCUUCAGGUGACCGCAGAAAACAACUCCCUGGCUGAGGAGUUGAAGAAGCUCAGAUUGACUGAAGAAAAAAUCCUGCAAGUGACAGCUGAAAAAGACUCGUUGAUGGAGGAACUACAGCUAAAGUCCAACCUAAAUAUAUCCGAAGAACUCUCCAAACUCAAAGAGAAGGUCAGAUUGGCUGAAGAAAAACUUCUGCGGGUGACGGCGGAAAAAGUCUCACUGGAGGAAGAGUUGAAGAUGGGAUGCAACUUAAACUCAAAAACAUCUGCUGAAGUUCUUAAACUGAAGGAGAAGCUUAGAUUGGCAGAAGAAAAAAUCCAGCAGGUGACUGCUGAAAAAGAAUCACUCAGGGAGGAAAUUAGGCGCGGCCUGACUUCUGUGGUGCCAUAUGAACAUGGACAACAAAACAGGAUUCUCGACCAGCAGGAUGUUGUUCACAGUGUCCGCGAGCGGAAUGUGGAGCGCCAGAUGGAUACCCGUUCUGCUGCACUGGUUCAGAAUGCAGAGGAGUCGCCGGGGCAGAGGACAGCAGCAUCCGGUUUUAGGCGGCAACAAGACCAAAUUCAGGAUGCGCUUUUGGACCUCCAACAAAUGCUAUCUGUGAAGACAGAUGAAUUGCACGACGCUCACAGCCAGAUGGAAAAAUUGGAGGACAUAAUCGAGUCACUGAGUAAGCAGCUUUACCAGCACAGACAGGAUGCCAAGGUCUUUCAGAUCUCUUAUUCGGCAUUGUGCUUCAAAAAGGAUGUUCUUCAGGAGGACGUGGCGAAGAAGACUAAGCGUUUGGCAGUUCUUCAUGAGCAACUGAGCAAGAAGCUAGACUUUGAACUGAAAAGCCAUGACAGAGCGAUGGCCACUCAUAGAAUGCUGGAGAACCAUCAGGAAACGCUGGGGAGACUCAAGAGACACAACGAAUUGAUAAUCGGUGAAUACCGGAGGCUGCAGGACGACAUGGCCGCCAUCACAGAGGAGAAGCAACAUGCACUCAUGGAGAAAGGGGACGCUUUACGUGAACGGGACGAGCUAAAACAGAGAAUGAAUUCUUACGUUGAUACAGUGGCCAGGAUUGAGAACAUCUUGAAGACAAAGGAUCAGGAGAACUUGGACCUGCUGGAGCGCAUCCGCACUGCCCAUUCGGACUUGCAGGUACGGGAGCACCGUUUGAAGUGUGCGGAGGACCUCAACGGCUCUAUACGCCUGGAGCUCCUGUUAUCCGAAAAGGAACGUCAGAACCUCUGCGAAGCCCUCGGGCACAAGGAGCAAGAGGUCAAGGAGCUUAUGCAGGACUUGCAGACAUAUAAGGCACAGGCGGCAACAUUAGCCCAUGGAAUGAGUCAGCUGGAGGCAGAACUCCGUGUCCUACAAGAGGAGAAGGUGGUUCUCCUGGCUGAAUUGGCCACAGUCAGGGAUGUAUGUGUCAAAUUGGACUCUGACAAGGAAAUUGCAGCGCAACAACUUCUGCAGAAGAGCAUGGAGCUCGAGAGGGCAACCUCAAAGCAGGAGGAUGCGCUGUCGGAGGCGGCUCUCCUGAAGGAGCACCUUGCCAGUGAGAAACUGACGCUACGCAACAUGGAGGCUAUGCUGUCCACCAGUCGAAAGGAGAUGUUUCAAGCCCACCAAGCAGCUAGUGACAAGGAGGCGGAGCUAACUACUCUACGCCACAAGCUCACCCAGGCUGACAACAAGAUAAUGUCGCAUGCAAGGGAGGUGACCACUCUACGGGGGAAAGUCACUCAGCUGCAGACCCAGAUGGAGGUUCUGACUAGCAAAGUCCUCGAGCGUGAGGGUCAUCAUGGCACAUCCUCACAAGAAAUAUCCUUCAUGCCCAAGAGAGCCUCCUCGCCCAUUGACCACGCAGACGUUCCUCACCAGAUGGACCCGUACAACUCUGUACAAGAAGAGAUUAGCUUUGGGCCAACGUCACAAAAGAUUCCAGGAGAUCCUGGACUCGGGUGACACCAAAAGAAGAGGCAUAGUACUACAACGCUAAUAUUUUUCCAUUUGAGUAAACAAUUCUAGCGUACAUUGUAUGAAUAUACAAUUAAAUUUUUAUUGAACAAAUAAAUAUGCAUACAUGUAUAUUUAGAACAUGAAUUGGAAACUAUGUUUUGUACAGAAAACUAGAGAAGUCCAAGAUGUGAGUUAUAAAAUUUUAUGGUUCAAUAAAUACGAGUUGGCAAAUACCGGUAGGGCAAUUGUACAUUUACGUCAUAUAUGGAGGACACUACAACAAAAACAAAUACAAAUACAAAUAUUUAUACAAUCAUGAAAAUAUAUUGUUACAAAAGUGAAGGUAGAAGUUAACUAUAUCUUAAUGAAAACAAAAUAAUGCAUUAAUCAUCUGACUUUUCAGUGGGGGUGUUGAUGGACGUGCGCUGUGAACCAGUCGAGACGUUCAGGGACGAGGAGCUCCGCAGCGGCGAGAUAGACAGGCCUUGACGCCGCAUCUCCUGCACGGCCCGCUCACUGACAGCACACAUAUUACCCACAAAUUUGAACACAACGCUGACUUCUGAUGAGGAUGUAUUAUAGCGGAACCUCUGAGGUCGAAACUCAACCCGUGGUCAACUUCAGAUAUCGUUCUGAUUUAGAAUCUAUUGAAUCCACACCGAGGUCUUAGUCAUUUUGUUAACUGUACAGUCAAUUGUCGAUUUCACAUUUUAAAUUCUCAUGUCAAGUGUAAAUCCCACUUUAAAAACAGUGUACUGUGUACUAACCUUCAAAUUUUUUAUCACAUCAAUUGUUUUUAAAUGAAUAGUGCCCAUAUUAUAUAUUUUUUAAAACAUCAUUAUUGUUAUUAUUUUUUAAAUAGCCACUUUUAAAAUUAUUUUUUUUUAUUUUAAUAUGUUUGAGCAACAAAAAAAAUCUGAUAUAAUAAAUACAUUCUUUAUCAAAUGCUGUAUUUUCAAAUUACACUAUUAUUUUUUGUAAAACAUUUACAGUUAAUAUUGCAUUUAUGAGAACAUUUAAGCAACUUUUUUUAGGAUACAUUUAUAUUUUAUAUAUAUAUGGCGAUAUGUUUAAAAUCUAUUAGAAAUUGCAUAUUUUUGACAUACAGAUUAUUUUCAAAUCACAUUGUUAAUUAUUUUUGUAAAAUAUAUUCAGUUAAUUCAUGGAUGCAAUAUUAACAUUUAAACAAUUAACAUGAAAAAACGUUUUAAAAAAUUAAGAAUCGUAUUUUUAUUUAAUUACAUAUACUCAAAGCGGGGAAAAAAAGUUGUGGCUUAUAGUCCAAAUAUACGGUACUCAAUCAUAAAAAUUAAAGACUGAAAUUUGGAGGUUUCACUGUCUAUUCCUCUAUUAGCACUGGGUGGUUCUCACCGUUCAAAGCGCUCUGACGUCAGCUGUCUGUUGAGUACUUCCAUCUCUUUCUGCAGCUGGGAGACCUUUGAGCGGAGGUUGGACACGUCCCUCGCGUGCUCAGUACUGGUAUACGGCAAUGGGGAGGAGAAAUACAAGCAAAUCAUUUUUAGUUUCAGGUCCAUGUACUUGAACUAGUACAUUAUCCAACUACAACCUUUGUUCUGACCACACCAAAGCAAGAAUAAAUCUGUCUCCUUACUUCUUGUUGUCGGCCAUAGUGAGUCUAUCUCGCAGGACCUUCAGCUCAGACUCCUUUUCGUUGGCCGUCAGGUGUGUCUCCAAGACUUGCUGGCGAUUGCUGGACACCAGUGUCUCCAGGUUGCGGACUGUGAGUCGCUCGCUGGCCAGCUGCUUUUUUAGCAGCUCCUUUUCGGAGCGCACAUCUUCGAGCUCUCCUUCCAGCUUGAAGGAAACAAUUUUACAAAGUCAGUAUGAACAUCGAUUUAAAAUAACACUGCAGUGAUACCUUUACAUAAAAGCGGCCUAUCCUUUGUGAACACUUAUAUCCUACCAUUAACGGCUGUAGACGUCCAAUCCAUUUGAACUCUUACAUCUUUUUAUCUUUGUUAGUGGCUGAUUCUUUCCCAAUAUUAUAGUAGUGGCGACUAUGUGUGUUGGGUGUCCACCUCAAUUUUUCUUUUUUCAUUAAAUUAUUCCCUGUCAUUGAUAGCAACAGGACAUCCAAUUCAUUUUGUACAUUUAUUGCUUACAAUGGCAGCCAAUAAGUUACCUUUUAUUUACGCACCACAUAUGUGUUGUGUGGUGAUUUAUCACAUCUCUGGGUUGCUGGUAUAGGGACAUUCAACGGCUGUUUUGCCUAAUUGAUUCAACCCACAAUAGGACAAGGGACUUUUUUUUUUAAAUGCUAAUUAUUAAAAACAAAUACCCCUUAAGGACCUGGCAUCCACAUACGUGGACAUCACAUUCUGGGUCAUUGAUGAAUAAUUGAUGAAUAAUAUUUAGUAUACAAAUGUGGCCUACAAAAUGUCAUGUCCACGUACAUGGACACCAGGUCCCAAUAUUCAGAAUUUUAUAUAAUUUUAAAAAAUCUAAUCUUAAAUAAAAUGAUCGAUGUUAAUAAAGACAUUUAAAUAAAAACAAAUAUAUUAUUAUGGUACGGUUCUAAUUUUGUUCCCCAAAACAUUUUUCUUUUUUUAAUUUCAUAGUAUUUUAACCUACAGCCUACCAUUGAGAAAAACAUAUCCAAUUCAUUUAAACUGGGAUGACUCCCUCUGAAUGCUCAUCUUUCAGUGGGAUUUAUGUUUUGACUUCACGACCAGCCCUGGAUUGGAUGCAGAGUGCCAUCAAUGGCAGCCAAUGAGUGAAAAAAGUGCUAAGGUUAUGAAAUAUCAGCACUUUAGAGUUGAGUAAAGUGUAUAUUAAUAAGACUGUAUAUGAUUAAAUUUGACAAUAGUGAUGAUAGUUGGAAUUCAUGACCGAUACAUUUUUGGGACGCCAUAUACAGUAUGUAUUGUCAUAUAACCCAGCACUAGAUCAAAUAUUGUUCCUAGGGCCGCUAGUUUGGGCCAGCGAUUUAAAGUCUCACCCUCUCAAGUUCCAUGCUCUUUGAUGUGGCCUGCCUUGCGGUGAGCGCCUUAGCAGAGUCCAGUUUCGCGCACAGGUCCCUGAAUGAAGCCAAAUUGGACGCGAGAGAAGCAUUCUCCUCCUUAGCCUUGUGCAGCUCCUCCUCCAGUCGCGCCAUGGUACGGGCCAGCGUGGACACUUUGGUCUCGUACGCCAUCAGAGCUUGCUGAUGCUGGAAAAAAAAUUUUCAAUCCAAAAUGAUCCACUUUUAAAUGUAAUUUCACUUCCUUGAUUGAGUCUCUCACCUGCUGAAUCUCGAGGUCCUUGCGGCCGACGGCUUCUUGCAGGUGACGGCGUUCAGUGUUGGACGUGCGCAGCUCCAAGCGGGUGGAGUUCUGGUGCUCCUCCAUUUGCUGCAGCUGGUGUGUAGUUGUGUGGAGGCGCUCCUGCAGGUCCAGGUUCUCUUGCUCCUGUGAGCAGACACACCACAUCAUUUAACCCAUGAGAUGUAAUUGAGGGUGAUAGACAAGCCAGAUCUGGUUUAAAAAUUAACUGUUUUUACACUGACCAGAGAGUAACUUUGGGCAUAUUACCACUAAACACUGAAAGAAAACAGAUCAACAACCUUCGCAAUGUUGUACCUGCUUUAAUUAAGUUUUGUUUGCUUUGUUUCUAUCUUAUGUUGCAUUAAAUGGUUUCGUAUUAUUUGUGAAUUGUGUUUAUGUUCUGCACUUUGUUGCAGCUGCUAUUGUUCUUAACCUUGUAAAUAAACUUUGAAUUCACUGUAAAGAAGUCUUAGACGAGGGGUCUCAAACUUGCAGCCUAUGAGCCCAUUACGGCCCGCUCAUUUGACAUCAAAUUGUAGUUUUACUGGGGCAUUUGUGUAUUUUCCCAUGGUCAAUAAUAAUAAAUAGUGCUGUCAAAUUUAUCCCGUUAACGGGCGAUAUUAAUUUUUUAAAAUUAAUCGCGUUAAAAUAUUUGACGCAAUUGACGCAUGCACGGAAUGACCCGAUCGUGCGUUACCUCAAACAGUUUAUAAUGACGCCGUUUUAGCACACUGAGAGCGAAAAGGCAGAGAGAUGCGAGUGGACACAGGCGUUCAUAGGACUGCGCCUUUUAUUGGCUUAAGCUUUGGCAACUAUUUCACAAUAGAUAUAAGUAUUGUGGCCAACGACAUGGGGAAGAAUGACAGAAGAUGAUCUUUUUCUUAACAUGCUUAAUUGAAAACAACACAGAUGAUACUGCAUACCAUGCAGCCACCACUGACAGUCAUGGUUGCCCAACUUCCCAUCAUGCAUUUGGGCGGAACAGUUAAGUCGCUACAGUAUCAUUUAGUGAAAGCAUAACAAAAAUAAUAUUCCUAUCUCUCAAAAAAAUAAUGUUCACAAAAAGAAAAGUGCUCAAUGCAAAGAAACUGGCAUUCCCAAUCAAAGUAGCUAUGCAAAAUAGACAUAAAACUUAGUCAGACUUUGCAUUGGCUAGAUCUCUAAUUUAAAACUCACCAUUGACACCUUGUGGUGUAUUUCAAUCACUAUAUUACGUAGUUAAAGACACUGGAAAAACGGCAGGGAGCCUGAUGUGACGUCACCGCUCGGUGAUGUCAACAAUGGCGAGCUACUAGUUUAUUUUUUGAUUGAAAAUUUUACAAAUGUUAUUAAAACGAAAACAUUAAGAGGGGUUUUAAUAUAAAAUAACUAUAACUUGUACUCAAAUUUAUCUUUCAAGAACUACAAGUUUUUAUCUGUAGAUCCCUUUAACAGAAAGAAUGUUAAUGCCAUCUUGUGGAUUUAUUGUUAUAAUAAAUACAGUAUGUUGAAUGUUUAUGUCAGUCUUGUGUCUUAUCUUUCCAUUCCAACAAUAAUUUACAGAAAAAUAUGGCAUAUUUUAGAGAUGGUUUCAAUUGCGAUUAAUUACGAUGAAUUCUUACGCUGUAAUUAACUUGAUUAAAAAUUUUAAUCAUUUGACAGCUCUAAAAUAAAUAUAUAUGAAUGAUUCGAAAUGUAUUUUUUCUUGAAUAAAAAAUAUAAAUGCAACAAGAGGUAUAAUAAACUAUUAAAAAACAAACAAUACAAAAAAUUAACAAUUCUAAGUAAAAUACAAAAAAAAAAAAAAAUGAAACAAUGGCAAUUAAUUUAAAAUUUUGUUUAAAAAUGACUACAUAAAUGAAAACAAAAAAACGUGACUUGUGUAUUUUUUGUCGGGAAAUUUAGGUUUUCUUUCGUUUUUAAGAUCUCUUAUGGCCCAAUGUAGCUCAAGCUAAUGAUAACUUUUGUUGGAUUUUUUUCUGGACUAUUAAGUUUACCCUUUUUUUUCUUCUCCAUAGUUUGGCUGGGUCUACAACUGCGACACUGAAAGCUGCGAGAAAGCCGUUGUAGGCGUACCCGUUACUUCCAGAGUUGGGGGAAUUGUUCAGAGGUUCUCAAUUUUGGCCACUUUAGUGAUAUAAGAGUGUGUCCUCAGUUUCAGCUCAUCGCGCUCACGUAAAGCCUCCUUCAACUCAACGUGGACCGUCUACACAAGAUGACAAAAGCAGUUUUUAAACAUGAUGGAAGGUAUUCCGAAUAAUGUGUUCCUUACUUGGUUCUCUCUGGUCAUAGUGGUCAGGUCAUCGUGAAGGUUCCUCUUCUCACUGGCUACCAUCUCCUGAGUUUUCUGUAGUCGCGCUAGCUCCAUUUGCGCAUUAUCUAGUUGUUUUCGCAAACUGGCCAGCUCCCUCUCUCGGCUGUUGAGCGCGCCCUGCAGUUGACUGAGACACAAAGGUGGGAAGUACCAGUAGUUUAAGGGGUUGGAAAUCACCUUGAUCAUGUGCAUCCUUUUGGAAAGAAUCUAGUUUAAUAAAGUGAAAAUACUGAAUUAUUUUUUUCCCGAUGUGUAACAGUGGAGGAAAACGUUAAUGAAAGCCAAUAUUUUCCGAUGUAGGGGAAAUAGCUGUCGUCAGAUAUUCUUAAAUGGCAGUAGUAUUUUAGCCAAUCAAAGGUGAGUAUCUCAGAUUGACCUGCUGACUCGUCACGCAUUGGUUCGUGGUUACCCACUCUACUACAUGCGGCUAUUGUAGAAAUAAGCUUUAAUAGACCUAGGAAGUGAAGUGGGCUUUGUCUGUGUCUCACACUGAGAAAGCAGAAAGAAAGCAACAGAUUGAACUGGUACAGACAUUUUUGUUUUUUUUAGACCUAAUUUUCUUCAUUAUCAGAUGUCUAAUAAACGUGCGAUAUGCAUACUAUGUGCAAGUGCCUUUCACAUGAAGGUCAUUUACAGUGUACUAGGUGUUUUCCAUUGCUUUAAUGAACUGGAAUGGCGCUUGGGGGGAGAGAAAAAAAGUCUUCUUACGCAAUAGAUUUGUCCAUCGCAGUGACUGUAAACCUCACAUCCUUCAGGUUUUUUGCCUAGGAGAGCACAAUGAGUUAAGCUUAUCUGAAAAGCCAGUUUUAAAGCUAAAAAAAGAUUUCAAUGAAAAAAAGAUUGAUACAUUGUUUGCAAGUUCCUCCUGUAGGACAACUAGUCUCUCAGUCUUUUGGUCCACCUCAUCCUGGAGACAAUCCUUCUCCUUAUCCAGCGCAGAGAAGGAGUUAUGAAGAACUUCGGCAUCCUGCUGGUGCUUGGACACCUGCUGACGCAACACCUCUGCAGAAAAGAGCAGAGAAAUCGUGUUGACCAGUCCUAAGAAAAAGAUCAGAGAGCGAAUACUGCAUCUGCUCCUGCUGCAGCCUGAAAUACAGAAACAUAACACCAACGUGUAUGUAAACAGACAGCAGGGAAUGAGUGCGUGGUUGAUUAGCUGAAGGAAAUUAUGAUCAGCUCCAAAUGCGGCGUGGUCAGAGUACAUGGGAGGGCGGACCCCAUGGGAGAGCUGAUAGCACCCCAAGUGAGACGAAGUCAAACGCAGGUUAGUCCGAACGCUGCGAUGCUGGACAGACCAAAUGCACUGUGCCCACACCUGUCGGAUUUCAGGACGCCCCCUCCCACUCUGCUGUCAUUCACGACAUCGAGCCGCACCGACAUCACGGGAUGUCCCCCGUAACCCCCUGCCUUUAGGGCAAAACUGCACUGCUGAGGGGAGGAGUGCCAGUGGACAGUAAAGACACCUUUAGCAGAGAAUUUUACUUUCUGCAAGCCUGAGCUCCUGUUUUAGCCUCAAAACUUCAUCAGAAGUGCUUGAACUUUGACAGGCAUUCUGCAGCUUUUCUUGCAUCUAAAAAAUGAACCAGAGCAUUUAGACAUCCACUCCAAGUAGAAAUAUUUGGAGCCGUCCUCAGCAAAUCUCGCUCCCUCACCACAACGAGCAAGUCGGAUUGUGUGAUGCUUCCCUGAAAAGCAAUGAUGAGUUCAAACUGACUACCACUCCGGCUCGGACUGCGAACGGGGUUUCCAGCCCCUCUGAGGGUUCUCAGGUGUUCGGCUUCCCGACGGUAGCGGUCACGCUCCUCCUCAAGGCUUUUGACGAAGGCAUCCAGACGAGAUGGCGAGCGUUCCCGUCCGCAGACACCGUGUUUGGCUCGCAUGGCCUCUAGCUCCAGCACCAUGUCUUUGUCUAGAAAAAAAAAAUCAAUGGUCAAUACAUGAUAUAGAUUAGGGACUUCUUGAUAAUUAUAUGAAAGUGUACCAGCAGACAUCAUCUUUUCCACUUUUUCUUCCAGCCUUUUUUUGUCAGCAUUAAGAAUUUCCAGCGUUUCCUCCAAUUUCUUGUUUUGUCUUUGAACCUCAACCAGCUGCUUUUCAAAGGAACCUUUCUCAGAAUUGCGCAGAGAAAGUUCCUGAGAUUCAAACAAUUAAGGCUUCUGCAAGUUGGGCAAAAUAAACAGUAA